rnacentral:rRNA from 1 species
CCUACGGGAGGCUGCAGUCGAGAAUCAUUCACAAUGGGGGAAACCCUGAUGGUGCGACGCCGCGUGGGGGAAUGAAGGUCUUCGGAUUGUAAACCCCUGUCAUGUGGGAGCAAAUUAAGAAGAUAGUACCACAAGAGGAAGAGACGGCUAACUCUGUGCCAGCAGCCGCGGUACUACAGAGGUCUCAAGCGUUGUUCGGAAUCACUGGGCGUAAAGCGUGCGUAGGCUGUUUCGUAAGUCUGGUGUGAAAGGCGCGGGCUCAACCCGCGGACGGCACAUGAUACUGCGAGACUAGAGUAAUGGAGGGGGAACCGGAAUUCUCGGUGUAGCAGUGAAAUGCGUAGAUAUCGAGAGGAACACUCGUGGCGAAGGCGGGUUCCUGGACAUUAACUGACGCUGAGGCACGAAGGCCAGGGGAGCGAAAGGGAUUAGAUACCCCUGUAGGC